rnacentral:rRNA from 1 species
UACAGAGGGUGCAAGCGUUAAUCGGAAUUACUGGGCGUAAAGCGUGCGUAGUCGGUUAUUUAAGUCGGAUGUGAAAUCCCCGGGCUCAACCUGGGAAUUGCAUUCGAUACUGGAUAGCUAGAGUUCGGCAGAGGGAAGUGGAAUUUCGGGUGUAGCGGUGAAAUGCGCAGAUAUCAGGAGGAACACCGGUGGCGAAGGCGGGUCUCUGGGCCGAUACUGACGCUGAGGAGCGAAAGCGUGGGGAGCGAACAGG